rnacentral:tRNA from 1 species
GGUACAUCUUCUAAAGGUUAGGAAACAUCUCUGAUAAGGAUGCAAUCACAGUUCAAUUCUGUGUGUACCAAC